rnacentral:snoRNA from 1 species
UUUGCCCCUCAAGGCGUUGCAGUCCUGGCUGGCGCGUGCCCGGGCUGUGUCACGUGGGGCAGAGAGCAGCCAUGGCUGUGUCUACGCUCGGUGCCCGACAUCCGGGGCAUCCAGAAUGAUUGGCAGCCGCACAGC